CACCGAAUAAGCUUUUUGAUCUCAUAUUGGAGCUAGAGACAAUCCUCAGUGUCAUGGCUAUGAUUGCGAUGGUAGAGAUAGUAUUUCUUUCAAAUGUGAUUUUUUGGUCGGGAUUCCAUUCUUUCUACCUUGGGCAGCUACUUCCUAAUUUUCAUGAGUACUUGAGUUUUGAAAGUGUUCAGAGGAGUAUAGUUUGUAAACCUUCUUGGUGGGGACCUAUGCC
rnacentral:lncRNA from 1 species